ACUGCUCAGUAACACGUGGACAACCUACCCUCAGCACGGGGAUAAACCCGGGAAACUGGGUAUAAUACCCGAUAGUUCUGGUUAGCUGGAAUGCUAUCAGGACGAAAGCUCCGGCGACUGAGGAUGGGUCUGCGGCCUAUCAGGUAGUAGUGGGUGUAAUGUACCUACUAGCCUACGACGGGUACGGGUCGUGAGAGCGAGAGCCCGGAGAUGGAUUCUGAGACACGAAUCCAGGCCCUACGGGGUGCAGCAGGCGCGAAAACUUUACAAUGCUGGCAACAGCGAUAAGGGGACCUCGAGUGCCAGGAUACAAUCUUGGCUGUCGUGAUGCCUAAAAAGCAUUACAUAGCAAGGGCCGGGCAAGACCGGUGCCAGCCGCCGCGGUAACACCGGCGGCUCGAGUGGUAACCGCUAUUAUUGGGUCUAAAGGGUCUGUAGCCGGCCGGAUAAGUCUCUUGAGAAAUCCAGCAGCUCAACUGUUGGGCUUUCAGGGAAUACUGUUCGGCUCGAGGCCGGGAGAGGUGAGAGGUACUUCAGGGGUAGGGGUGAAAUCUUGUAAUCCUUGAAGGACCACCAGUGGCGAAGGCGUCUCACCAGAACGGUCCUGACGGCAAGGGACGAAAGCUAGGGGCACGAACCGGAUUAGAUACCCGGGUAGUCCUAGCCGUAAACGAUACUCGCUAGGUGUCGGCCACGGUGCGACCGUGGUCGGUGCCGUAGGGAAGCCGUGAAGCGAGCCACCUGGGAAGUACGGCCGCAAGGCUGAAACUUAAAGGAAUUGGCGGGGGAGCA
rnacentral:rRNA from 1 species